UUGCUCCUGGAUUCAGCGGCGGACGGGUGAGUAAUGCCUAGGAAUCUGCCUGGUAGUGGGGGAUAACGUCCGGAAACGGGCGCUAAUACCGCAUACGUCCUGAGGGAGAAAGUGGGGGAUCUUCGGACCUCACGCUAUCAGAUGAGCCUAGGUCGGAUUAGCUAGUUGGUGGGGUAAAGGCCUACCAAGGCGACGAUCCGUAACUGGUCUGAGAGGAUGAUCAGUCACACUGGAACUGAGACACGGUCCAGACUCCUACGGGAGGCAGCAGUGGGGAAUAUUGGACAAUGGGCGAAAGCCUGAUCCAGCCAUGCCGCGUGUGUGAAGAAGGUCUUCGGAUUGUAAAGCACUUUAAGUUGGGAGGAAGGGCAGUAAGUUAAUACCUUGCUGUUUUGACGUUACCAACAGAAUAAGCACCGGCUAACUUCGUGCCAGCAGCCGCGGUAAUACGAAGGGUGCAAGCGUUAAUCGGAAUUACUGGGCGUAAAGCGCGCGUAGGUGGUUCAGCAAGUUGGAUGUGAAAUCCCCGGGCUCAACCUGGGAACUGCAUCCAAAACUACUGAGCUAGA
rnacentral:rRNA from 1 species